AAAUUCAAUUAUCUCCUCACCUUGAUCUAUCACUCAGAGAUGAGGACGCUCCCUCAGUGUUGAUGAUGUUUUUUUUUGUUUUGUUGGGUUAGGCCCUUUCGGUCGACAAGACCAUUGCAGAGCCGGAAGGAUGAUAGGAAUUAGGGGGAGACAUUGGUCUGGGCAGGCACCCUAGUGAGUCGCCGGGGCUGAGCCCGUCCAGAGGACAGGCCACCCAGCCCCAAGGCACUCACUGCACCCGGCUACGGGGUGCGCUCCCUCGGGAGCAGCGGUGCCGCUCCAAGGGAGCAGCCCGCAUGAGAUAAAGUUGCCUGUCCAGCCCGGAGGGGGGUUGCGGCGUGGAGGAGAAGGAUUUCAGUAUCCUGAGGAUAGAAGCACGGAUAGGUGAGGGUUGAUGAUGUCCUGCGCAAGGGACUUCAUCUGUCGGCGAUCACUCCUUGAAGCCCGAGUGCUUUGUUGCGCCGGUCUGUGAAAACACCAUUUACAUCAACAUUCAAAUAGGGCACAACUUCAGUGAGCUGCUUUGAUCAUUGGUGACUGAUGCACAAUUAUAUUGAUAUGCAAAAUGUUUCAAGUAUCAUGCAAAUAUGUCGGUAGCGGUACCUAACUUGGUACCUACCUGCUUACUAGCAACCUAAUUUACAAAUUAAUGUGUCAUGGUACAUAUCUGACAAGCGCACACAGUCACAGUGCAAAUCCAAAAGCAAAUAUAAAUUUGUUACAAUUUCCAUCACAAUAAGAAAGAUUCGAAUUAGUACAUUACCAACUGAAUAGUUGGCAUUCAUAUCAAAUCCAUUAAAAUGAAAUACAUACCCCGAGGACCCAGCACUGCGCAGAUUCUGUGUUGGAACCGCAUCAGUCUUCAGACAUGGGCUCACACCUGGCAUCAGGGAUGCUUUCACAAGGUAGGAAGGAUCAUAAUCUGAAUCAAGAAAGUGGUCUGAGCAAAUCCUUGCCUGCAACACAUUUAUAGGAUCCUGCCUCGAACAUCUAUGCACCCAGGUCGCACAUGUGGCUGGAUCCUUCGGGAACCGAAAAACGAUUUUGUGCAGAACUUGCCAGUCCUUCGGUAACUUCGGCAUGUAGCCACCGCACAGUACGACAUCCUGAUCCUGAAUCAAGUCCUGAAUCAUUCAAUCAAUUUAAGUUUCAAUGGUUUCAAACAAUCAACUCGAGGGUACAACCAAGGUACAACACCACGUACAACACAAGCAAGAAACAGGAAAUGAACUUGUUUACAACCGUGAGUCCGUGACCCUCAAAAUCGAAUUCAAGGCCAAAUUUGCGGGGAAGGCCAGCUGAGAAGUGUCCGUUCCGCUGACGUCACGGGUAAUGUUAAAGAUCCGGGUGCCCGGCAAAUAGGAAAGCUCGGGAUGACAGCCCCCUGCGGCCAUAGGGCAAUGGUUUACUAACGGGAGAUGUGAUGAAUUACAGCAGCAAUACUUGAAAUAUAAGGAAGAACUGAAGCAAUUAUGAUACCUAUUAUUUUUUAUAAUGACAGAAGGAACGUGGAAGAAAAAACAUUUUGUGCAGCAUGUGAAAACAAGGAAUUAGAAUGAAGGAAGGGCUGCUACUUUUCAUGCUCCCGAAACCAGCCAUCUCAUCAUCAUAGCAUGUUGCAUUGGAGCUCUGCUGGAGUUUGCUGAUGACAGGAUGCUGAAGGGCUGAAGCUGGUAGCUCUGGCAGGAGUCCAGUGUCCACCAGCUCAAGAUCCGACGCCGCCGCGUCGCCGCCGUGCGGCACUCCGCGGAGACGGGGACGGCGGUCAUGAUUGAAGACAUCGCAUUUCCCGCCUGGACUGUCCGGUCGGAGACUGGUAAUCCCUCCGGUGAGCCGCACACCGUGGAGCUACUGCACCGCGCGUGUCCACCCGCAGCGCAGUGCCAGCAACGGUGCCGUGAGUGCGACAUCUGCGUGCAUAUGACGCAGUGCGACUGUCACGACUCGCGGCUCAGUGUUCUGUCAGUGUGACAGUGCGGCUCGCGCUCGUUUUAGCGUGGUGCUCUGUUGUAUAUAACCACCUUGAUGGAGACCUAUGUGCUGCCGCUUGAGUUUCAAUGUACAGUUUUAUGCAUCAAACUAGCGUAAGUAAAUGGCUAUCAGAGGUCAAUUUGAAGCGCAAUUAGUACCCAUAACCCAGCUGGGUUGAGCGAGUCAUGUGACUAGUCCCGAUGAACGUACUGUUUCGAUGUCGUCAGUCGUAGACUUUUGUAAACCAUUCGUUUCGGAGCUCUGUGUUGUGUUGUUCGGGACCGCAGUUGUUUGAGCAGUUUGCUUUAUGCGUCGUACGCUGACAGAACGCUGGUCGUACACAAGCCAUGUGUUUCCUUUCGCCCCUAAUGUGUUUCUGCGGUACCUAUGCAGUUGUAAUGUGUAUACAUUACAACUGCAUUACAUACAUUACAUACAUUACAUACUCUAUACACUAAGGUCGACCACUAACUGGUCGCACUUGGUUGUGAAAAUGACACUAGCUGGUCGCACUUGGUUUCAAACUGCGCUUGGAAGUCGUGCAAUUUUAUUUGCAUUUUGCAAUGCAAUUUUGUUGCCGUUACCGUAUUGGUAGAUUGAGAUAGUGUCAGAAGUUGGCCAUUUGAUGCGUUGUCACUUGUCAGACGUUGUUGCCUUAGUACUGACGAAUUGAUGGGCCGCGUUUGUGUUCCUGUUAAGAAACGGAUCUCAAUAUAAGGUGAUUCAGAGGUAGGAACCUGAAUGCAUUC